rnacentral:misc_RNA from 1 species
CCGGUCCUAAAUCCUGCAAUUGUUUCAGAGAAUAUUUGAAUCCGUUGAGUUGGGUAGAACAUUGGUAUUCCAGUACUAGCAACAGUACAGCUAUGUACAGCCAGCAAAACAAGCCUGAAAGUAAACUAAAGCUGGAGCUUUGGGAGGAAUCAGGAUUGAGGCAGAAUAUACCUCUAUGGGAUGUUGGUUCUAGAAGUGUACAUACUGUAGAUGUUUAUCAGCAGCCCUGUAGAUCUGCGCUAAUUAACAUGGCUUCUGAUAUGCUGCUGCAGUACGUUUGUAAACAAACAUCACCUUCUCCGUACAGAUUAGCUGGUGAGACCCUGGCCAAAUCCAACCUGAAUCCCAACGCUAAGGAGUUUACCCCUAGGGGUCUCCUUCACCCCUAUAUAUCCCAGGAGAAACUAGAGGAGAUGAUUGAAGAGGAUAGAUUAGUCAACCAGGUCCUUAAAACUUCACUCAAGGAGGCCUUGGCUCCGAAGAAUCUAGGUAGUUUAGGGACUUUAGAGGUUGACAUGAAGAUGUUAAGUGUAAAUAGAACCGAGUUAUUAAACAAAGACAUUGACCCUUGCUUCAUGUUAAAACAAACAAGUAGUAAUCUAUCUGUUAAUAAGAAAUGUACCAACAAGAGCUGUGAUGUAAAUAUACAGAAAUCUACUGUAGAGUCUUCAGAUUGUGAUAAAUAUGAAGAUUUGUCUGUAAAAUCUUCCAGUUUUGAUGCACAUGAGAACAAAUCAUUUGAAGAAACUGCAAAUAUCGAUCCACACACAGAGAAGUUAACUGAUAAACAAUUAGAAAACUGUGAUGAACUAAUAAUUGAUAAAGAUGGAGUUCAGGCUCGAACUGAAGAUGGGACUAAAGCUGUUGAACUUGUACAGGAUCAUUUCCAUAACAAUGUUAAGAAUGAGCAUACCGGAGAACUUGGAGAAACUAACGACGAUGUCACUAAGUUUGAAAGUCUCAAGAAUUCAGAUCUUCCAAGUUCAAAUAGCUCUGACGAAAGUAUAUUUAAUCCUUGUCAAACCACAGAUACAGGUUCUUCCAAUUCUCUUUUAAACCAACUGGAAAGCAUCCAAUUAGAGAACCUUACGCCAUUACUCAGCCAAUCAGAAUCCAACUCUUCCACUAGACAACCAGAUGAUUGUUUACUUUUCUCUAACCAAUCAGGAUCCAACUCCUUAGCUUUCAGCCAAUCAGAAUCGAGCAUAAGCAGCCAAUCAGAUCAAUCUGAUCUUAGCUCAUCUCCCGGCUCUUCAAUAGGAAGUUUUUCAAGAAAUCUAAGUGAGAGUUCUGAGGAUGAUUUUGUUCAGUUUCUGAGUCCUAGAUUAGUUUUAUCAAGGGAAGAGAAGAAAUCUGUAGGAUCAGUCUCGACCAUUCAAAAGGAUACGAAGACAGAUGAUGAGAAUGUGGAGACUGAAACAGCUGAUGAGGAUGAAGAUUGGGACGAGGUUGAUGGUGAUGAUAUCCCUGCCCCUGAAUUUGAUUUGGAAUUUCUGUCACCUUUGUUUUUAACAAACAGCACUGGGGCCACACAGUGUUCCGCCCUUUCUUCUGCCAACCCCAACCCCGCCCUGUCCUCACUGAAACCUAGCUCCCCCUUCCCUAGUAUCAAACCUAGCUACGACCCUAGAAUCCAACCUAGCUCCGCCUCCCCUAGUAUCCAACCUAGCUUCACCCCUCCUAGUAUUCAACCUAGCUCCGCCUCCCCUAGUAUCCAACCUAGCUCCGCCUCCCCUUAUUGCCAACCUUGCUCCACCUCACCUAGUAUCCAACCUUGCUCCGCCUCCCGCCAACCUAGCUCCGCCUGUCCCCGACUUCACUUCUCCCUCUGUGUUUACCCUCGAAUCACGAAGGAGGAAACUAGGAAAGAAUCAAACUUGUUUGAGCUAAGGAUGAAGGAUGAUACACCAAAGAUAUCUGAUCUGAAUAUUGAAGAUGAAGAAGUUAAGAUCUCAACUCUAGAAAAGAUAAAUAGAAUCUGGAAUGCAGUACCUAAUGUUGCCAGGAAGAAUAUGGUGGUUGUACAGUUUAGUUCAGAUCCAGACACUCUUCAUUGGGAACCAGAGGGACAAGUAGAUAAUCUUAAACAGGCUCGAAUUAGUGAUUUCCAGACUCGUAAAGCUGAUAUGGAACGCAUGCAUCGACUUCUUAGUCCUAUCCUAACAACUCAGCAUAGACAGAAAAUAUACUCAAAACUAUAUUUAUGAUCAAGUUUGGCAAUUAAGAAGAUAAACUAGAAAAAAAAUACUACUGAUAAAAUUCAGCUAAACUGUAAUUCGUCUCGACAGCAUUCUUUCAUCCCCGAUGCUGAAAUGUACAAUAGAUGCAGGACACGUAGUUGUACAGCUCAUGCAUGUUACGUACAGUACAUGAACCAGUGCAGUUUUCAAUGUACAAUUACCCUCAGUCCUCACCACUACUAGUCAUUGGAUUAUAUUUUAGUAUAUAUGAUAUGAUAUCAGCAUCAAACUAUAGGUUAUAUUAUUUCAAUGCUUCACGGACAGUGUUCACUAAAUAAGUUCGCGCACAUAUUUUUAUCCAAAAUCUUUAACACUAACUUGAACCAGAUUUAAGAUUGACGAGAAGAAGCUGAACUGCUUCUCUUGUUUAGUGUGAUUCAACUAAGUCCUCGUAGUUCCAACAACUUCACAUCAUGAAGUCUGGUUCAUGAACAAUUAAUAUUAUUUAAUGUGUACAUUUAUCAUUCAUUAAAGCUCAGAGUAUUUAUUUAUAUUAUAAGGGGAUUUAUAUAGCUUGGCGAUUAAAUUAUUUUUAAUAUUGUUGAACUCCAGUGUGAUCACAAAUAUUGUCAGAAAAGUCAAAUAUUUUUUUAUUUUGUCACGUGUUAUAUUUCCAAUAUAGUUAAGUACGAGGUCGACUUAAGUCACUUCUGGUACAGUUCUUAAUGAUCAUAAUUGCUUCCCAAGAACUCUGAAAACUUGUUUCAAAUCCCACGUUUGUUGGUAAUUCCUGUAUCUAUUAAUUAUAAUUUAUAAUGCACAAAAUGCUUGUCAAUAUAUUUAAAAACUAUUUAUUA